AUCAGUUGUACUGAAAUUAGCUACAUGCAUAAAAUGACAUUCAACCUCUCCUAAUGACACACACACACACACAGGUGUCACUUUUUCCCCCCCCACAUGCUCUAAAUUAAAUUAAUAAUAACAUAUAAACAUGAUUUUAGGAAGCAAUAACAGCAGUCUAUACCACCUCUUGUUGUAGAAACCAUUCCAAUCAAAGUUUUUUCAUGAAGGACCCUCCUUUGCAUUCACCUGAGAGAAGCAAAGCUCUGUCUGGGUCCCAGAAACUUGUCAUUUAUUGAAGAGCAGUCCUGAAGAACUGUCUGUGCUGCUGCCUUGGCGCUCUGGGACUUCACGCAUCAGUGGAGAUUCAAAGUUGCUGAAGAACAAAAAAGAAACAAGCCCCCAAAAAUCUUUCCAAUGACUCAGCUACAUAAAUAACUCAAGUAAUACCAAAACACAGAUGUCUACAAUGGUAAUACACAUUUUUCACUGAGAAGGAGGACAUUGCCCUGACAACAUAGAAGAGGAGCAAUCUAUAAAGCCACUGCAUGUAAUGAACAGCUCCACGGCUGAUGGAAUGUCUGUACAUGAAAUUUUGAUAACUGUGCAAUCUCACAGAGACUACAUGAAGACCACACGUUUUUCACUGCUAAAAGAAAAUACAAUGAAGCAGGAGGAAGGGAAGCUGUGCUGCACAUGCAGUCUAAAGCACUAUCAAAUCCACUGAUAAGCAAAGAGGUGGUUAAAAAAUUGGGAAACAACCCCCACCAAUUUCUGGCACUGAGAUCCUGAGAAAUGUGAAGUUUUUCAACGUGCCUCAUCCCCAUGAGUGCCAAGCAGGCUUCCCCUUUCUGCUUCUCCCCAGCGAGCACAGGCAAGAGCCUGUUCAACACACCAGGAGAAGAGGAGCUGCUGCUGCAUUUUAUCCAGUGGGUACUUGGGCUGUGACUGAAGCACCCUCAGUCAACACACCAGAACUGAAGAGGCAUCAUAAUGUGUUGCAACAAGAAAACAUCAAGAAAUAAACAUAAGACUAAGGUUCAAUUUUAUACUGUGUGGAUUUAGUUGAUUUGUUAUUGGAAUACAAAGACUGCUGAUGCCAUGGGAUUUAGAGGGGAAUCCUCCACUCCUCCUUGGCUUGUAUGAACAAGAUUCAUCUGUAAUUACAGUUCAGUCAGAUGUGAAGAUAUUUCAGAAUGGUAAAACACUUUCGACAAAUUCUAAACAUGCAGAAGUGUCCACCAAAAUCUUCAGAAUGUGGUGCUUUCCAGAGGAAAAGAGAACAGCUGAGAGAAAUAGAAGGGGAGUGCCAACAGAUCACAUAUGUGUGCACACACCAAGAUUAAGGCACAUGCUUUGCUUACAGACUGGACUGGAAGGGACAAUGUGGUACUGCUGAGACUUCACCCUGGAGAAAACCAGCUUCUGUGCAGCACAGUGUGCUCUUUGCAGGGAUUUUUAUGUCAGCUUUCUCUGAAGGUAAAAUGAUAAAAGAUAUGUAAUCUCCAGUAUAAGGAAAAAAUCUUCAGAGCUUGUGCUGCUGCUGCUUUUCAUCUCUUUUGCAGAAUGGAACAGUUGAAGAUAGGAGACAAUUCUGUGAAAAUGUUUCUGACCUGAUCCAAAGCAUGAGACUGAGAGGCAAGAAAGAUACAGCAUGGAAAAAGAUCUUACACUGGAAGCAGAAAUCUAAAGGCAACUGAAGAAUGAUACAUAUAUAUAUAUAUAUAUGUGUGUGUAUAUAUCAGGCUAGAAAAAAAGCCUCACCUGGAGUGUGUCUGCUCUGGGGAAUCAGAGAACAGCAGCACGAACCUCCAGUGUUUGCACAAUGCAGUUCAAGCUCUCAUGGACAUGGAUGAACCCACUUGGACACCAGGGACCCUUCGUGAAAGAGAAAUGAAGCUGCUCAUGAGAUCCAUGCAGCAUAGCUGAUAAAACCACAAACACAAGGCAAUGAAAAAGAGCUACUCCUUCCAGCACAUCAUGAAUGAAUACAGCAGAAUCUGAUGGAAUAUUAAACACAGCAGUGUGAAAGCACAGUGAAUGUCUGCAGCUCUCAAAACCCCUGGAAAACAGAUAAGCACAGUUCUGCUCUGGAGGAAGAGUUUUGUGACUGGGGAGGCUCAGCAUGUGCACUUGGGUUUAAAGAAAGCAUCCUGCAAAAACACCUGGACAGGAGCUGUUGAGAUAAACCGAAGUCUACAUCAGCAGGAUGUUGCUACAGGUAAUGUCAGCUUUAAUGUGAAUGUGAUUUGGAAAGAUUGGCACAGUGUGGCCAGCAUUUGACAGAAUUUACAGUUAUCCAGCAGUAUCUGCCUGAUAAUCUCAGUGUCUUACAGCACACAGGCAGUUUUCUGUUCCUGGAAGUCACAACAGUGGAGUGACUUGCAUGGGAGAUCAAAUCUCUCAAAGUCAGGACAGCAGAACCUCCAUUUUAUAAAUGAAAGGCACUACGUUUUCAUUGAUUUUACUUUAUCAGGAAUCAUUUUUGAGCAAGUACAUGAUCCUCUAUCCCAGUGCUUUAGUUCUGCUCAGACACUAUGAAAAAGAACAAGGGAGCAUUAUCAAGCUGAUACUUUAAGCAGAAAGCAAAGAAUGGCAGUGACAGGCAAAGAAAGUGAGGCAGUGGAGUUGCAGCUUCACUUCCAAGGGCUUGUCAAGCAAGGUAACUGAGAGUAUGAAUGGACACAGAACAGCUUAGUUGAAUUAGAUUAGAGCAAAACCUGUCAAUAAACAAGAUCUUAAGAUGGGAAAAUGAGAAAUAACAAAAGAAAACAAAUUAUUCUUAAAAAAAAAACAAAAAAGGUAUUAUAUUGCGAGCAAAAUGAAACAAUAAUCAAGUCAAUGCUUUUAGAAAAAUUCUGGUGCAUUUUAGCUAUGCAGCACAGAUCCCAUAUGAGACCACUACCUCUGGACCUACAAUCUCUGUUAUAAUUUCUCAUUAGUAUCAUCUUAGAUUGUUUACUUCCCCACUAAUAUUAAUAGAAAUAAUCAUAAAAGCAAUAACAUGUAUGAUCAGGGUUGGUACAGGCUUCAGACUAGUAUUCACAAUCCUUUUAGAUAAUCAAAGCUAUGAGAAUAUUGCUUUUACUUUUGUAGCUAAGGUUUGGCCAUCUCCUGACAGAUCCAGUGCCUAGUAGACAAUGUAAAAAAGUUUUGAUCACUCCAUCUCCUGCUCCAUCAUUCCGCCUCUCUGGGCUAAAACUCCAAGCACUGCAUGCCUUAUAAAAGAGAUGACUCUGCCUAUAUGUUACCUCCCUGCUGCUUUUUCUCUUUUCAUAAUUUGCCAGAUUCCAGGUUAUCCAUUACAACUCCGAUUUGUCAAUAUAAAUGCACUCAGGAAGCUGCAUCAAUGUGAAGUCAACAAGACACCAUAAUUAAGGAUAUAUCUAGGCAAAUCCUAUAGCAGGAUUUUAAUGCGGCAUAAUGGGAAUGUGAACCACCAGGACUCUGACUUACUUAAGGAAAAGAAAAUAAAAAGUUAUCUAUUCUUUCAUUGUCUCGAAUCUAUGCAGGACAGACCUCCUACAGAGCUACUGGUGACUGGCUCUGGGUCAGUUCUUAAUUCCACUCAAUGAAUAUCCCAGAGAUCAGUGCAGCCAGGACCAUCAAAGCCAGGAAACCAGAAGGAAGCAGUUCAAACUGUUGUAUUUGUCCUCAACAUUUUGUGACUGCACUCUUAUGCUUUGUCAUUAUAUUUAUUUUUGCAUAAACAUUCCCUUUGGACACCUGGAGUUGACAGCAAUGGGAUCUUUUCAAAGUACAUAAUCCAAAGAUGUCAUGCUUGCUUCAAACUGCUUGUAGAUGAAACAACAGCUGGAUGAGAAGUACAAUGAACAGGGACCUCCUGAGUCCUGUCCUGAGUGCACUGAGGGUUCUGCAGCCUCCAGGAUGUCAGGAAGGGACAGAGCCCUCGCCACACUGUCCUCCUCGCCAGAAUGAAACAGCUUUUCCAUUUCUCUGACACCCCGUGAAGAUCUGCCCUGAGGAUGGUUUCAGCGUGCACCAAGGAUGAGCAGUGAGGACCUGUGGAUAUCGUCUUCUAACCAGCAGAUACCAUUGCAACAAAAUCUGUUCAUUCUUUAUCCCACUAUCUUCAUUGUGGAAGCUGAAAUACAACAUGUCAGCUGGAGAAGGGCAGUCUGAGCACUGAAGAACUUCUAUACUUGAGUUUGGGCUGCGAUCAGACUGAGAUUUAAAGUGGAGCUUGAUCAAUUCCCUUCAUCAGGCUUCCAUUCACGUAGGAGGAAGCAGAUCCAUGACAGAGAAAAGAACAGAGAAACUACAAAAGAAACACGAGCAACAACUGUUUAGUUACCUUUCCAGGGGUCCUGCCUGCAAUUAGCUCACCCAAAUGCUGACCUAUAAAUAACUGCCAGAAGGAUCUUUCUGACAAAGGAUCUCAAAGCACUGGCCAGCAGAGAGGAAAAGAAGCCAGAUGAUCCAGCAGAGCAGUGCAGUCAUGUCCCCAGCAAGCACCACUGCCUGAAGAUCGUCUGCCUUGGUGGAGUGUAAGGGACCAUCAUUCAGGAGUGAGACAGUGGCUAAGCAAAACCUUUUAAUCUUGUAAGAGCAAAGACUUUUCAAGCUAAUAUUUGAAAUUACUUUACAGAUAAGGAAGAAGAGGCAACAAGAACAUACUAGCAUUUAUUUGAUAUAUAUUUGCCAAAUGAAUGAUUUAUCUUCAUGCUUUUUUUAAAAGGACAGUGAUUACCAUAUCCCAUUUUCACAUUCGAAAAAAGUGAAGCAUAGAAACUUCCUUUUGGAGCACUGAAAUGAUCUAUUAAUACUUACAAGACUGUUUUCCUCAUUUUCUGGAAAAUUAUUUAUAAUACUUAGCAGUUUUUCCAAAAGAAAAUAAGUUCCUUAGCCACUCACUGAGAAAUUAUCACACCAAGGAGAGUCUUUUUGCAAGCAAACCUCCCCCCCCAGCCACUGAAGCAGCUAAAACCUGCACUCCUUUUCAGCAGCCCAGCUCACUCGUUCCUCCCAGCUGAGGAAAGCUGUGUGCACUGGACUAAGGAGUUCCAUGUAUUUUUCAGUAUGAGCAUUUAUUUUCUUGUCUGUGCAGUCCUAACCUGUCUGCUCUCACGAACAUUAUGGGACUCUGACAAUUUCUAAUGAUGACAAAGUAAUUCAGCACUGUCUGUGUUUAUUCCUCCAGGAAUACACUGCUUUAGCUGAAGCACAUUUGCAAUGUGCAUGACCCCUGCUCUCCUUCAUAAAUCUUUCUGACAAAACAAAGAGAUGGGGUAGCAUUUGGAACAGGAGCUGUAUUAACUGCUGCAUCUUCCUGAUUUAGGAUCUGGUAAACAUAUUCUCAGAUUUAAUCCAGUAUAGAAGACAUUACUUCUAUCUUUAAAAAAUAGAAGUAUUAUUUAAUACAGUCUAAAAUGCAUUAUUUCAUAAAGCUACCAAGCAAAUCAGAAAAGCUCAAGAGAGCCAGUUCAUUCAAGAGGAAAAAGCUAAAGGCAGAUCUGAUUUCAGAUGGAAUUGUGGGUCUGAGGAGGUCUCAGAAGGAAUACAAUCACUGGUACAAAACUGAUACUUCCAGAAACAUUGACUCAGGUCCAUGGGGCCGCUGUGUCUGCAGCAGGAGGGGAAGUUUCCUUACCAUUAUAUGUCUGUCUUUCAGAACUUCUGGGGUGGGGCAUUUCCUUACUGAAUAAAAUGAAAUGUACAACAGCCCCAGGACAGUUCUGUCUCUCCAUGGACCUUUUGGACUUUAUGAGCAGCCAAGAACAACUGAGGGACUGAAUAACAACCAGUACUAGCAGCAAAAUAGAGUUGGAUAGUGUAGGUAAAAUCCUUAUACUAGUGAGUAGUACAUUCUAGGAAAUAAUGAUUUUUAAUAAUGGCCACCUGCCAUGAAGAUCCAGUCAGGGUCAACUUUUACACACCCACCUCUGCCACAGUAGGACAGGGAUACAGCUGCUGCCAAGAAUGCUGAAGGCAGCUUCUCUGGUCUCCUGCAUAGAACUUCAGCACCAUUCCCUGAAGGUUUCUGACAUCAUUCCAAAAAUUUUCCUUAGUAUCUUCCUAUUGAAAAACUGAAAGGCUGAAAAGAAAAUGUAGGGGUUUUUUCAUAUUUCUACAUUCUGAAUUUUGUGAGCAUGUCUUUCCACUGUUCCUGAUGGAGCAUGGGCUGAAAGUCUUCUCAUCUGUUUAUUCAUCUGAGAAGAAGAAGCAGCAUUCAUUCUUGGAGCAUGAACCCAGCCUCAUGCACUAAAGCAAUAUUGCUUUUCACUGUAUCACAGAGAGAUUAAUAUUUAUUCAAAUUCAUACUUAUUUAUGUGGCUGGUAGAAUUAAACUGAGAUAAUAAAAUACAAAUACAAAUCUAGAGUCUGAAAAACACUUCUUAACUGAGGAGAGCUUCCAUUUGUAUUUACACAGAACUUUUUAAAUUAUUUGUUGUUGGUUUUAAAAAGUGCUAUUGAUAAAAAUUGCAAGCUAAAAAAAUAGAUCUGAGCAUGUGUCUGAUUUUAGGGGAGCCUUCACUGACAAUGCAAGAUGUUGUAGCCUGUUAGAGACCCUGUUUCCUUAAAGCAUUGUGAGAAGACUGAAGUAUAAAAGCACUAUCAAGUUUGGAGUCUUACGUGUUGAGUAGUAAUAGUCUUGUGUGGAUUUAUCACUAAUUACUAUCCUGGUGGGAGGUUUUGGGGAAAAUAGGGGGGAAAAUCUCCAUACAUAUUCUGAAAAACCAAAUGCUUUUGUGUAGACAAAGAGCUGCAGUUUUUUAGCCAUUCCUGCUCUUACAGAAGUAUGGGCUAAUAGUGGAAAUAAUGUCUACACUGUGGUUAGAAAACCAAGUAUUUUAAUUGUUGCUAUUGAGAGACAAGUAUCAGCAUACUACAUCUUAAAUCAUCUGGAAAAAUGUAUUCCUUGGCUAUUUUUCCAUCAAAUGAAAUAUUGUUUAAAACAGAGAAAACAGUUCUACUUCCUGAUAUGUUUUUAGCGUGGCUUCAGGGCAUUGCUAUUUAUUUUGCAAGGUCAGAGUAACUGAAUGCUAUUCAUUUCCAUGAAUUUUUGAAAUAAGGCCUAGCAUCUAUCAAUUAAAGUGACAGAUGGACUUUUGUCUAUUGUAAGCUUUAAUCACUGAUAUUUCAGAACUAUUUGCGUCUACAUCAGUUCUCUACUUGGCUAUUUUUCUUAAUUAUAGCUUUAGAGAUAGAAACUUGUUUAACAAAUUUUAAAAUUCAAAAAACAAAAAAAGGUCCAGAUUAAAAAGUAACAGUUGAGUAAGAAUAAUUACAAAAAAUAAAUAAUGAAAACAACUAAAAGCUAAAAAGCAACAGUCUGGUUUGCUCUAACAGCCAAAUAGCACUAAAAAAAGUGGAUUUCUCAGUUAAAAUACCUUCAAGCUUUUGAUACCUGACCAAAGUCUUGAUGACUGCACAUUGAAAUAUGUAUUCAGUUUGGUUUUUGGCCAGGUUGUGUGUAUACUGGAGAAUUACUGCCCAAAUGUUUAAUGGACAAAGACGGGGAAGGUCAUGAAAUCUUCAUUGCAUAUUUGUUUAAACCUUUGCUCUUGCUAUGAUUGCCAUCACAGAUAUAUUCAAAUUGCCAUCCUGAUGGUUUUGUUCAUCCAAACCUGCAUCCCAGUUACUAUAUUCAGGUUCCCUAUCUCAGAGUUAUGACUAAGAGAGGACAAGGAGCCAGUGAGGCAAGAGGACAGUGACUUUCUGGGGUAUUUCUGGGAAUGCACUCUCAGCAGAAUUUUAUUGUGCACAUUUGGAGGAUGUGGUCACUGCCUACCCUGAGGCAAGUUCCCCUUUCACAUCCUCUGAUGUGGAUAGUUUGAACCAUUUUUUCAGACCUGUUUCAGUGUCUCUUCCCCAUCCCCAGUGCAAACAGCCUCCCCAGUUUUUAGUGUCUGACAAGUCCAUGCAGUUCUUGUCCUGUGUGUGUGUGUAAAUCUGCACAGGUGUGGGGGGAGUCUCAUGGUCAGCCCUGCUGUGCUGUGCCUCCUCUGGGUGACAGCAGGCACUCCUCUGCCCUAGAGCCAAGGGAUUGCAGUGGCCCUGGACUGCUCUAAUCACAGCCCAUAGCACCAGCUCAAGAGAGGUAGGGCUGCAGAUUGCUGGGCCUUAUGGGCCAUGUGUCCUACCCAUAAAGUUGGAUUAUGUGUGACACCCACACUGCUGCCUGAGUUAGCACCACCCUGAACAACAGAUGCAGCAGCCCAGUUCUGCAGUUCCAGCUCCUCCUCUGUACAGACACUGUAUUUUCAAGCUUAACUCCAGGAAAAGAUGGAACAUAGCACAUUUCAAAUAACAUUUCUAUCAUCAAAUGAGAUUUCUUUAUUAGCACAACAGACUCUAUCCAAUAUCUGGAAACUCCCUUUCCUCCAGUGUGGUGAAGGACAGCAGGGGAGUGUGAACUGGAUGAAAUGGGAGGCUAGGCUCAUGUAGAUCAAAAGGCUCUUGAAUCUUGAAGCCUUGCCCAAGUCCUGCCUUCUCCUGAGAAAUUCGGCCAGUUGGGAUGUUUGAAAGUUAUAUCUAGUGUAAAGAUAAUUUUAGACUGGUUUAACCACGUGUGGUUUAAGCUCUGUUAGCCAGUCUAAUAACUAAUAGUGCUAUCACUGAUGCUGAACAUUUAAUUAAGAGCAAUUUACAAUUACUUACUGCAGUAUUUGGGACCAUGAAGGAGAUUGUGCCUGCAUUCCAACAUGAUACUUUUGGCUGUUUGGAAGCUGUGGGACCCAUCCUCCAAUUACACAAAUCAGGCUGAGCAGCAGGGUGUGAGAGCAAAAUCCCCAAACUUGGCUUACAUAGGUAAUGGGGAAAAGAUUACAAAACAAUCAAAUAGAUAAAGAGACAGAAGAGAUGGCAGGAGAGCAGGAAACAUCCUGCCAGAUGCUGCAAAAUCCAUAUUUUAGCAUGAAUAAUAAAUAAAUAGAAAAAGAGGCAGACGGUUAGGAAUAGAGCAAUAUAAGGAAAAUGGUACAAAGUAAAUAAGGCAAUAAAAAUCCAUACCAAAAACCAAACUAAGUCCUUCUAAAAGAUGUUCUGUAUCUGACAGCUACUUAAAUGUCACAUUAUAUGGGAAGCAUCUAUGUGUAGCUGUUGGGAUUAAUCCCUGCACCUAAUGUCAAAAAAGAUUUUUUGAUUGUGCGUUGCUUUUGUACCAAGGCUGCCAGUGCAUGACUAAAUAAAUAUUCACAUGUUAUUUAAAAAUAA